ACAGCUCUAACAUUGUGAGUGAUCAGCCUUUGUGUUGCAAAUUUCGGACGUUUGAGUAUGCCGAGUUUAAACCUAGUAUAUUUUCAUUGCCGUUCGUAAAAUUAAAACCCAUGGAAUAGACUUAAAAACGACUUUAUUUAAAACUAAAGACUAAAAACUAAACUAAAACCCAGCGUGUGACAAAAUUACAAACCGGUGCCACCUCCAGUUAGAAGUUUUCUACGUAGGCUCUAAGCUCGAUAUGUACAGUUGAGAAGACUUAGUGGCAGCAAUUGAUAUGGACCUUCUACUUUUUUUCGUGAUAACGAUCACGAUUGAUUGUAUACAUUCGUGCACAUGGGGAAACUAUGACGAUUGUCCGUCCUGGCCAGCAUGCUCAAAAAGCUGCGGAGGUGGGUCAAAAUGCAGAGUUUGCGAGUCCUGCUUCUGGAAAAUUGACAAAACAUUCUGCGAAAAUUGCAAUGAGUUUUGUGUACAUGGUUCUUUUUCUAACGGAGAAUGUCAAUGUGAAAUCUGGCGCACGGGAGAUUGUUGUGAGACUUGCACGCCCAUAGACAUAGCGCACUGUGUUCCUGGCAAACAAACAUGCAGUGAUAUUCCAGACGAUAUUAGAUGCACUCAGUGUGAGGAUCCGUACUAUGCUGGGGAUGAGUACCACACGU